UCCGGCUUGUCGCCGGCGGUCCCUUUAGAGUGCCCAACUAAAUGAUGGCAACUAAUGGCGAGGGUUGCGCUCGUUGCGGGACUUAACCCAACAUCUCACGACACGAGCUGACGACAGCCAUGCAGCACCUGUGUUCCGGCCCAUUGCUGGGAGGAAUCCAUUUCUGGAAACCGUCCGGACAUGUCAAGACCAGGUAAGGUUCUUCGCGUUGCAUCGAAUUAAACCACAUGCUCCACCGCUUGUGCGGGUCCCCGUCAAUUCCUUUGAGUUUUAAUCUUGCGACCGUACUCCCCAGGCGGGAUGCUUAAUGCGUUAGCUGCGCCACUGAAGGGUAAACCCCCCAACGGCUAGCAUCCAUCGUUUACGGCGUGGACUAC
rnacentral:misc_RNA from 1 species